UACGUGGGGGGCAAAUGUUGUUCGGAAUCACUGGGCGUAAAGGGAGCGUAGGCGGGUUUUUAAGUCAGGUGUUUAAUCCCGGGGCCCAACCCCGGACAGGCACUUGAAACUGGGAAUCUUGAAUAGUGGAGAGGUCGGUGGAAUUGGGGGUGUAGCGGUGGAAUGCGUAGAGAUCCGGAAGAACACCGGUGGCGAAGGCGGCCUGCUGGGCUAUGGCUGACACUGAGGCGCGACAGCGUGGGGAGCAAACAGG
rnacentral:rRNA from 1 species